AUCUUACUGAGCAGGACAGAAAAGGGACCAAAACCACACCAACAAGGACGAUCGAUAGGCGCAACUUACUCUGAGGCUAACAUUACGCAUUGACGGAAAAGGAAAAAGUCUUGUUACUAGACAUACUGAACGUUUUAGUGAAAUCAGUAAAUUACCCAGCAUUUAGCACAAAAAAGCAUAAUUAACUCGCUCAUGAAUGUGAAGUCGCGGGUAGAAAACUGAGUUCACCGAAGAAAAAAAAAUCACCAAAGACAGA